rnacentral:rRNA from 1 species
UACAGAGGGUGCAAACGUUGUUCGGAAUUACUGGGCGUAAAGCGCGUGCAGGCGGCCUUGCAAGUCGGACGUGAAAUCCCACGGCUCAACCGUGGAAGUGCAUUCGAAACUGCGAGGCUGGAGUCCUGGAGAGGAAAGUGGAAUACUCGGUGUAGAGGUGAAAUUCGUAGAUAUCGGGAGGAACACCAGUGGCGAAAGCGGCGACCUGGGCCAAUAUUGACGCUGAGGUGCGAAAGCGUGGGGAGCAAACAGG